rnacentral:rRNA from 1 species
ACUCCUACGGGAGGCAGCAGUGGGGAAUAUUGCACAAUGGGCGCAAGCCUGAUGCAGCCAUGCCGCGUGUGUGAAGAAGGCCUUCGGGUUGUAAAGCACUUUCUAGUCGUGAGGAAGGUAGUGUAGUUAAUAGCUGCAUUAUUUGUACGUUAGCGACAGAAGAAGCACCGGCUAACUCCGUGCCAGCAGCCGCGGUAAGUACGGAGGGUGCGAGCGUUAAUCGGAAUUACGUGGGCGUAAAGCGCAUGCUAGGUGGUUUGUUAAGUCAGAUGUGAAAGCCCGGGGCUCAACCUCGGAAUAGCAUUUGAAACUGGCAGACUAGAGUACUGGUAGAGGGGGUAGAA